AAGAUUUUAGCUUAAUAAAAGUAUCUGGGUUGCAUUCAGAAGAUGUGAGAUAAAAUCUUGCAAAUCUUA
rnacentral:tRNA from 2 species